GCCAGCCUUACCUUCCAGAACCACUGGAUAACGGGAUGAUUUGGGCAGUAACCAUUUUUGUAGAUGGUGUGUUGUCUCCAGUCGUUGACGUCGACAUCACCAAGGCCACACAUCAGUAACUGCAGGGAAAGAGAAGGGGAGAGGGAUGGAUGACUGAAGAGCCCAGAACAUGGAGCAUCUGUCAGAGAACUGUCAGCUUGGGGCACCAGAUUGACUCACCUCCAGUUCAUUUUCAUCAAAAAUUUUAAUCAGAUCAAUAGGAAGCAGUUCUGUGAAUCCCUAAAAAGAAAAAGAGCAAAGCGAUCCCUGAUGCUCCUGUGCAGUACAAACGACAGGAAUUGCAGCAGGGUCAAUUGGAAGUACAACUGCUCUUUCUUACCCCCAGGCACAUCCCAUAAUGAUACUUACUCAAUGUAUUCCCGC